UACGUACAUAUAUAUUAUAUAUAUAUAUUGUAUACAUAUGCCGAUCGCACAAGUUUUUUUUUCUUUUACUGUACGUACAAUGUACCAGGCAUGUGAAUAUGUACAUGUAAAAAUAAGCGGUGCAAGUAAUUAUUAUUUGUAAAUACAACAAUGACAGGUUCGUUCGGAUACAAAGCAAUGACGCAUUGAUAGUUCGACGAGGCUGAUUCGAAAUUGUGCGUUUGUUUGUUGGGAUUGUACUAUUCGAUGUAGUACCUUCGAGAACUCUGAUACGUUGGCGAUUUUCUCGAUCGCGUAACGACGCGUACACGUGUAUGUGCAUUUAAAUCUCUCGACAGUGAUUGCGACCAUUUUUCAUUGUUAUUUUAACGUAACGACGAAUUGUAUUUUCUUUUUUGUUCUCCUCGAUGCUGCAACAGAUUCAGACGGCCCGAUCGCGUUUACGAUCGCGUCGUGCGAAUAGAAAUCGUCGAUGAACACAGCACGUCGUCCACGAAGUGCAUUAUCCGCUUGCAUUUCGCAAUAUCCUUUGUGGACCACGUUGCUGAGAGAGCAUUGCCUUAAAAAGCGAAUGUUGAAGUAUGUAGACCGAGAAUGGGCAUGGUUGGAAUCGUCGUACCGAGAGACAGAGGUGCACAAGCUGAUGGAUGCAACGUUGCUGGUAAUCAUUGUCGGUAAAUAAUUAAAUGUACCCGGUCGAAUUCGAUUCGUUGGCACGACUGCAUCAUCGAGGUCAUUUAAUUGGUUUAGGAAAAAAAUUCGAAAUUCUAAAUUUCGAUUCGUUACACGUUUCUAACAAAGUCACGGAACGUCUGCUCGUAGAUAAAUACGCGUUUUGCGCUAUCAUGUUCGCGUUUAUGUUAAUAAUACAGAGUCAUUUAUUGUGAUCGUACUAUCGUUACACUGUUAUUCGAUAAGAAAUUGUUUUUACACAGUCAGCGAUUACUGCUGUAAUCAUUGUUAAAAGUUAUCUUCGGGAGAAAUUAGAUUCAUCUGUCCAAUUUAGAAUAAUGUAUUUAUUUAAACGGCCACGAUCAGUGCAGAUUCAAAUGUGAACAUUGUAACGCUGUAUUCGAGUUGUGGUUGUCUUUCGAAUAAUAGAAAUGUUCGUUUUUCGUAUAUCGUAAUUAUUUAUGUAUAUUCGAAAGGAAAAGCUUCGAUGUUUUGUCACCGAAGAAAAGGAAGGAAAAAGGGAAAGAAGAGAGAGAAAAGAGAAAGAAAGGAUGGAGAAAGCUAGAGAAACGUCUUCUACAAUGAGCGUUCGCCGAAGCUCGGAUCGUGGUCUCGUGCAAACAUACGUAGUUCUAAUACGAUUCAGUGAGAAACAAAGUUUUCAGAAGUCUUAAUGCAAGGCGAAGGUCGACUCGUGAACGACGUAUGCAUCUGCGUAUAUGCAUAGAGACUGGAUAAUCGUUCUCAAAGUUGGAAUUAUUAAAUCAAUGACGCAUGCACGAAUGCAUGGAAAGUCAAUAAGUUCAAUCGUUCGAGAUUACGAUUAUCAUUCGAAUAAAUACCGAUGCAUUUUCUACGUGUGCAGAGAUGUAAAGGUGCUAUUUUUAUUUCUGGUUAAAUUGUUUCACCGCGGAAAACGUAGAGCGAAAGAGAGGGGCGAUAGUGUGGAAAGGAGAGAGGGGGAAGCGUCACUCGAUCGAACAGACGCGCCGAUUCGUCUUAAUUUAUUUCGAACAACAAUACGUUCGUUAUUGUUUCUGUCAGCUUCUCACUUUUCAAUGCCUUUGACGGUAAAGUAGAAUUAAUCGCUUGCGUCAGACGAUUAUUAUGAUUUACCUUGGAACGUUCUUUGAAUAUUUUCGCUAAUCGUCUUCGCGUGUGUAACGAACACGUUACGUUUAUGAUUAACGGGUAUUUCAUUAGUAGAACGAACGCGUAAACGUCAUACGGUCUUUCCGUGAAAGUAUCGCAAAACGUAUAAAAGAAGAUGUAUCUCAGAGUUCCCUGUAAAUUUCCCAGAUGUGACAUAGUUUUUCGGAGGGUCACAAUUCAUAAUUUAACGUGAGACCACUUCGACUUGAAGACUUAUUAGAUAAAAUUGUGAAAGGCAAGAGAAAAAAGCUACUUGUGCCUCGAGCGCGGCAACUAUCCUAUUCGUUAAGCAAGGGAACGAGAAGAGCCACGUAUUGUGUCGAAGUAAUUUGUAUGAAAAUAUAUGUGUACGAUGAUCGAUCGUUAGUGUUGUCCGAAGUCUAACUUUUCCUUUCUAGUCUUCAACGUAUUGUUCGCUAGGAUCCAAAACGUUCAAUAAUCACGAGCAUACUUUUGCCAUGAGGAUAACGCUUUAUAAAAUCGGGGACAUUGUUUUCGAAUAACGAUGCAUCGUGGUUAGAAUGAUGCUCGAAUUUGGAAAUUGGCGAACACUCUAUUGGAAGUAUAAUUAUUUGGAAACUUAUUUGGAAAUUACGUAAACGGAGAAAGGAAUUUAUCUCGUCGAUUUUACCGAAGAAUUAGACGACGGUUCACUUAAUUGUUCGUGCAUAAAUGUAUUCACGUAAUAAUGGAUGAGAACAGAGAAACUAAGAAAGCAAAAGGGAGAGAAGAGUUUUAUCGACUCGUCAAUAAGUAACCCCCCUCCCAAAGAAAAAGACCCGUGUUUUCUCCCUAAUUCUUAAUGAAUUCGUUGUUGCGUGUCUCUUAGAAGUAUGUUUAGCUGAAGACUUAAGAAAGAUGAAUUACUAUUGAUGCAGGCGCAAAAGUAAGAGCGAAAGGAGGAAUCGUUGAACAGUAACAUUCGAAUAAGCGCUAACUAUAGAGUGAAUGAAUAAUAACUCGUAGAAAGCAAAAAAAAAAAAAA